rnacentral:rRNA from 1 species
UACGUAGGGUGCGAGCGUUAAUCGGAAUUACUGGGCGUAAAGCGUGCGCAGGCGGCUUUGCAAGACAGGCGUGAAUCCCCGGGCUUAACCUGGGAAUGGCGCUUGUGACUGCAGUGCUGGAGUGCGGCAGAGGGGGAUGGAAUUCCGCGUGUAGCAGUGAAAUGCGUAGAUAUGCGGAGGAACACCAAUGGCGAAGGCAAUCCCCUGGGCCUGUACUGACGCUCAUGCACGAAAGCGUGGGGAGCAAACAGG